rnacentral:rRNA from 1 species
CACGUAGGGCGCAAGCGUUGUCCGGAAUUAUUGGGCGUAAAGAGCUCGUAGGCGGUCCGUCACGUCCGCUGUGAAAACCCAGGGCUCAACCCUGGGCUUGCAGUGGAUACGGGCAGACUAGAGGUAGGUAGGGGAGAAUGGAAUUCCCGGUGUAGCGGUGAAAUGCGCAGAUAUCGGGAGGAACACCGGUGGCGAAGGCGGUUCUCUGGGCCAUAACUGACGCUGAGGAGCGAAAGCGUGGGGAGCGAACAGG